CUCGACAGAAGAACAUGUCAAAAUUUAUGUACUGCUUAAUACAGAACUCGGAAUUUUCUAAGAAAACAUUUGUGAAUAUGAUGUAAACCAGUGCUCAAUCAAACUUUCCGUUACCACUAGCAAAUCAAGAGACAAGUAUUACUUAUCCUACAUAAAGUGUUGCAGUAAAAAAAAUCAAACUAACAGAAAGUGCUACUAUUAACAGAUAAUAUAGAUGUUAAAAAUUAAAUCAUUAAAGAUUACAUCAAAAUAUAUAAAUAUAACGUAGUACAAGCAAGGACUGCCAGUGAGAGUUCGGUACCAGCGAUAGCUAAAAGAACUUCAAAAGCUGCCUGUUCAAAUGCCAAUGAUCUUGUAAAUUUUGCCUCCAGACUUAAAAUGAAAAAUCAAAAACCGAAUAUUCUGGAGUUUCUCGAGAUAACAGCCAAGGUUCGUCUUUACCAAGAAUCCGGCAAGCUCACGCAAUUAAGCAGAAGAAGCACUAGCGUAUUAUCAUUAAACAAAUGAUAAGUAUAUGUAUACACAUUUAAAAAAUGUAAUACAAACAUGGACUGCCCAAGAAAUUUCGGUAACAACAGAUAACAAAAAAAGACUGAUUUUCAAAAGCUGCCCAAUAGAGUGCCUUGCAGAACAAAUGGACCUUUUAAAAUUAAAGGUUGCUUCCGAACGCCUUUUUAUGCCUAGCAGAGGGUAUUAUAAUUUUAGUCAAAAGCAUGUAACGCAGAGAAGGACAUAUAAUAUUUUCUAUAAAGUAUAUCUUUUAUUGAACAACAUCAUAAGGAGAGUCGAUCUAGUCAUGUCCGUGUGUCUGUCCGUCCGUUUUUUUUUUUCGAAAACA